rnacentral:rRNA from 1 species
UUACGGAAGGCAGCAGUGGGGAAUUUUGCACAAUGGGCGAAAGCCUGAUGCAGCAACGCCGCGUGUGUGAUGAAGGUCUUCGGAUCGUAAAGCACUUUCGACCGGGACGAACAACCUCUGGCUAACACUCAGGGGCCUGACGGUACCGGGAGAAGAAGCACCGGCUAACUCUGUGCCAGCAGCCGCGGUAAUACAGAGGGUGCACGCGUUGUUCGGAAUUAUUGGGCGUAAAGCGCGUGUAGGCGGCUUUGCAAGUCGGGUGUGAAAGCCCUCAGCUCAACUGAGGAAGUGCGCCCGAAACUGCAUGGCUUGAGUACCGGAGAGGAUGGUGGAAUUCCCGAAGUAGAGGUGAAAUUCGUAGAUAUCGGGAGGAACACCGGUGGCGAAGGCGACCAUCUGGACGGAUACUGACGCUGAGACGCGAAAGCGUGGGUAGCAAACAGGAUUAGAUACCCCGGUAGA